rnacentral:rRNA from 1 species
AUUGAACGAUGGCGGCAGGCCUAACACAUGCAAGUCGAACGAGUGGCGGACGGGUGAGUAAUGUCUGGGAAACUGCCCGAUGGAGGGGGAUAACUACUGGAAACGGUAGCUAAUACCGCAUACCAUCGGAUGUGCCCAGAUGGGAUUAGCUAGUAGGUGUGGUAACGGCUCGCCUAGGCGCCGAUCCCUAGCUGGUGUGAGAGGAUGACCAGCCACACUGAAACGGAGACACGGUCCAGUGUCCUACCGGAGGCAGCAGUGGGGAUUAUUGCACAAUGGGCGAAAGCCUGAUGCAGCCAUGCCGAGUGUAUGAGGAAGGCCUUCGGGUUGUAAAGUACUUUCAGCGAGGAGGCGUUACUCGCAGAAGAAGCACCGGCUAACUCCGUGCCAGCAGCCGCGGUAAUUC